rnacentral:rRNA from 1 species
AGAAUCAACGCUGGCGGCGUGCCUAACACAUGCAAGUCGAACGAGAAAGUGGAGCAAUCCAUGAGUAAAGUGGCGACCGGGUGAGUAACACGUGACUAACCUACCUUCGAGUGGGGGAUAACCUCGGGAAAACCGAGGCUAAUACCGCAUAACAUCGCAAGAUCAAAGCAGCAAUGCGCUGGAAGAGGGGGUCGCGGCUGAUUAGCUAGUUGGCGGGUAACGCCCACAAGGCGAAGAUCGGUAGCCGGCCUGAGAGGGCGCACGGCCACACUGGAACUGAAACACGGUCCAGACUCCUACGGGAGGCAGCAGUGGGGAAUUUUGCGCAAUGGGGGAAACCCUGACGCAGCAACGCCGCGUGGAGGAUGAAGCCCCUUGGGGCGUAAAACUCCUUUCGACCAAGACGAUAAUGACGGUACUGGUGGAAGAAGCACCGGCUAACUCUGUGCCAGCAGCCGC